UCAGAAACCAGGAUGCAACAUCUGUGCCUUGAGCCUCUGCUGCUAGAUAGCAACCUAAUGUUGUAGGGGUGUGAUGCUGUGGACCCCUUCUUGAACCCCUAAGCUCAUCUUGCAUUUGGGACUCUAGCAUGCAGCUGCCUGAUUGCCCUUGCAGAGCCCACCUCCCUGUUAUAGAAACAUUAUCACGACUUUCUCGAACACCUAUAGCGUUGGCCACAGGAAUCAGGCCCUUCCCAACAGAAGAAAGCAUUAAUGAUGAAGACAUCUACAAAGGCCUUCCUGAUUUAAUAGAUGAAACCCUUGUGGAAGAUGAAGAAGAUCUCUAUGACUGUGUUUAUGGGGAAGAUGAAGGUGGAGAAGUCUAUGAGGACUUAAUGAAGGCAGAGGAAGCACAUCAGCCCAAAUGUCCAGAAAAUGAUAUACGAAGUUGUUGUCUAGCAGAAAUUAAGCAGACAGAAGAAAAAUAUACAGAAACUUUGGAGUCAAUAGAAAAAUAUUUCAUGGCACCACUAAAAAGAUUUCUGACAGCAGCAGAAUUUGAUUCAGUAUUCAUCAACAUUCCUGAACUUGUAAAACUUCAUCGGAACCUAAUGCAAGAGAUUCAUGAUUCCAUUGUAAAUAAAAAUGACCAGAACUUGUACCAAGUUUUUAUUAACUACAAGGAAAGAUUGGUUAUUUACGGGCAGUACUGCAGUGGAGUGGAGUCAGCCAUCUCUAGUUUAGACUACAUUUCUAAGACAAAAGAAGAUGUCAAACUGAAAUUAGAGGAAUGUUCCAAAAGAGCAAAUAAUGGGAAAUUUACUCUUCGAGACUUGCUUGUGGUUCCUAUGCAACGUGUUUUAAAGUACCACCUUCUCCUCCAGGAACUGGUCAAACAUACCACUGAUCCGACUGAGAAGGCAAAUCUGAAACUGGCUCUUGAUGCCAUGAAGGACUUGGCACAAUAUGUGAAUGAAGUGAAAAGAGAUAAUGAGACCCUUCGUGAAAUUAAACAGUUUCAGCUAUCUAUAGAGAAUUUGAACCAACCAGUUUUGCUUUUUGGACGACCUCAGGGAGAUGGUGAAAUUCGAAUAACCACUCUAGACAAGCAUACCAAACAAGAAAGGCAUAUCUUCUUAUUUGAUUUGGCAGUGAUCGUAUGUAAGAGAAAAGGUGAUAACUAUGAAAUGAAGGAAAUAAUAGAUCUUCAGCAGUACAAGAUAGCCAAUAAUCCUACAACCGAUAAAGAAAAUAAAAAGUGGUCUUAUGGCUUCUACCUCAUCCAUACCCAAGGACAAAAUGGGUUAGAAUUUUAUUGCAAAACAAAAGAUUUAAAGAAGAAAUGGCUAGAACAGUUUGAAAUGGCUUUGUCUAACAUAAGGCCAGACUACGCAGACUCCAAUUUCCACGACUUCAAGAUGCACACCUUCACUCGAGUCACAUCCUGCAAAGUCUGCCAGAUGCUCCUGAGGGGAACAUUUUAUCAAGGCUAUUUAUGUUUUAAGUGUGGAGCGAGAGCACACAAAGAAUGUUUGGGAAGAGUAGACAAUUGUGGCAGAGUUAAUUCUGGUGAACAAGGGACACUCAAACUACCAGAGAAACGGACCAAUGGACUGCGAAGAACUCCUAAACAGGUGGAUCCAGGUUUACCAAAGAUGCAGGUCAUUAGGAACUAUUCUGGAACACCACCCCCAGCUCUGCAUGAAGGACCCCCUUUACACCUCCAGGCCGGGGAUACGGUUGAACUUCUGAAAGGAGAUGCACACAGUCUGUUUUGGCAGGGCAGAAAUUUAGCAUCUGGAGAGGUUGGAUUUUUUCCAAGUGAUGCAGUCAAGCCUUGCCCAUGUGUGCCCAAACCAGUAGAUUAUUCUUGCCAACCCUGGUAUGCUGGAGCAAUGGAAAGAUUGCAAGCAGAGACUGAACUUAUUAAUAGGGUAAAUAGUACUUACCUUGUGAGGCACAGGACCAAAGAGUCAGGAGAAUAUGCAAUUAGCAUUAAGUACAAUAAUGAAGCAAAGCACAUCAAGAUUUUAACAAGAGAUGGCUUUUUUCACAUUGCAGAAAAUAGAAAAUUUAAAAGUUUAAUGGAACUUGUGGAGUACUACAAGCAUCAUUCUCUCAAGGAAGGGUUCAGAACCUUAGAUACAACUCUGCAGUUUCCAUACAAGGAGCCAGAACAUUCAGCUGGACAGAGGGGUAAUAGAGCAGGCAACAGCUUGUUAAGUCCAAAAGUGCUGGGCAUUGCCAUCGCUCGGUAUGACUUCUGUGCAAGAGAUAUGAGAGAGUUGUCCUUGUUGAAAGGAGAUGUGGUGAAGAUUUACACAAAGAUGAGUGCAAAUGGCUGGUGGAGAGGAGAAGUAAACGGCAGGGUGGGAUGGUUUCCAUCCACGUAUGUGGAAGAGGAUGAAUAAAUUCAAAUCCAGCAUUGCACCCUGCACGAAAAAUUUCAGAGAAGGGAUAAAUAGAAGCCUGCACAGCAUCGUGAAUUAACUGAAGUGUUUAAAAAGCUGCAUUUCUGGCUGUUCAACAUCCUCCCUCCUUAGCCCCUCCUAAGUCUUAAUGCUGAGAUUUCU
rnacentral:sRNA from 1 species